rnacentral:rRNA from 1 species
UACGUAGGGUGCGAGCGUUAAUCGGAAUUACUGGGCGUAAAGCGUGCGCAGGCGGUUGUGCAAGACCGAUGUGAAAUCCCCGGGCUUAACCUGGGAAUGGCAUUGGUGACUGCACGGCUAGAGUGUGUCAGAGGGGGGUAGAAUUCCACGUGUAGCAGUGAAAUGCGUAGAGAUGUGGAGGAAUACCGAUGGCGAAGGCAGCCCCCUGGGAUAACACUGACGCCUCAU